GGGGGGGGGGGGGGGGGGGGGGGGGGGGGGCAGGGCGAGGGGGGGGGGGGGGCGGGUGUGGGGGGCUCGGGUGGCGAACGGGGGAGUAACACGUGAGUAACCUGCCCUUGACUGUGGGAUAACUUCAGGAAACUGGGGCUAAUACCGGGUAGGAGCUCCUGCUGCAUGGUGGGGGUUGGAACGUUUCGGCGGUUGGGGAUGGACUCGCGGCUUAUCAGCUUGUUGGUGGGGUAGUGGCUUACCAAGGCUUUGACGGGUAGCCGGCCUGAGAGGGUGACCGGCCACAUUGGGACUGAGAUACGGCCCGGACUCCUACGGGAGGCAGCAGUGGGGAAUAUUGCACAAUGGGCGGAAGCCUGAUGCAGCAACGCCGCGUGCGGGAUGACGGCCUUCGGGUUGUAAACCGCUUUCGCCUGUGACGAAGCGUGAGUGACGGUAAUGGGUAAAGAAGCACCGGCUAACUACGUG
rnacentral:rRNA from 1 species